GGGAGGGUGGUAAUGGGGAACACCCAUAGAGAAGGGGAGUGGGAGGGGUUAGGGGGAUGUUGGCCCGGAAACUGGGAAAGGGAAUAACAAUUGAAAUGUAAAUAAGAAAUACCCAAGUUAAUAAAGAUGAAGAGAAAAAAAAAAAACAAAAGAAAAAAACCCAAAAAACCAAAAGUGUGUGUGUGUAGUGUGUGUGUGUGUGUGUGUGUGUGUGUGUGUGUGUGUGUGUGUAAAUUCAAGAACAUGUACACAAGAGCACUCAUGCACAUUUAUGCACAUAAGUUUACAGGUGGGUAGAGGCCAGGGAAAACAGAUAUCUUACUCAAUCUUCUUCUCCACCUUUUUUUUUUUGGUUCUUUUUUUUCCGGAGCUGGGGACCGAACCCAGGGCCUUGCGCUUCCUAGGCAAGCGCUCUACCACUGAGCUAAAUCCCCAACCCCUAUCCACCUUAUUUUUUGAGACAGUGUCCCUCAUUGAAACUUAAACUCUCAAUUGGUCACACUGACAGACCAGCAAGCUCCAAGACUCCACUCUGGGGCUGCAGACACAGGCCACAUGACCUCGACAUAAGUGCUGGGGAUUCAGAUUCUAUUGCUUAUGCAAUGGGAACCUUACUGAUGGAGCCAACUUGUUAGUCCCUAGAAUUGCAUUUUUUUUUUAUGUUUCCUUUUCCUGGUGAGAAAGCAGUGCUCACUGAUUAUGACUAAAAUCCACCUCCAUCAUAAAAAAAUUAAUGUUUCAAUAAAAUAAAAUACAUUUUAUAAAGACAUAAUACCACUUAUUUAUGUGCAUGAACAUGUAAGUAUACAAGCCUCCACCAAGCAAAUACAUCUAUUUACUAGAGUCUAAAUGGGUCAGUGUGACAGCACCAAUGAGUUAUAAAAUAUGGGUUAAUUUUAUGUUGUAUGUAUCUGUGUGGUUUAUGUGCAUGUGUAUGUGUCUGGGCAUGUACACCUAUGUGCAUGUAGUUUAUGUGCAUGUGUAUGUGUCUGGGUAUGUACACCUAUGUACAUGUAGUUUAUGUGCAUGUGUAUGUAUCUGGGUAUGUACUCCUAUGUGCAUGCAUCCAUAGAUCAGAGGAGUGUGAGGCUCAAAUUCAACCUCUACCUGGACCUUCUGAAAUGAGAUUUACAGAAGGGAUGACCAAUGCAAAAGCAAGAGGAAUUUAAUCAUUCCAACAUGUUGGAGCCGUCCCACUUCAAGGGGAGACGACCCUGAGCAGACUCUAACAGGGAGUUAUUUACCUUGCAAACAUUGGGGCAGAGUUUUCCCAACGAUAACUACGCAGGGCACUAUGAUAAGUAGGCAGGACACUAUGAUAACUAGGCAGGGUACUAUGAUAAGUAGGCAGGACACUAUGAUAACUAGGCAGGGUACUAUGCAUAUGUAUUUGGUGGAGCAAAACAACGUUCAGAUCAACUUAGCAUAUCAUUCAGGAUUUUUGGUUGGGACUCAGGUAGCUUUGUGUAACAGUUUGGCUGUUCCAGGAACUAACCAGCUUUUUUUCUUCCUGGAAGGGAGGAGUCCUUCUACUCGGAGGUUUGUGGUGGGAAUUUUCCCACUGGCCCCAGAUUGGCCCCAACUCUGGCUCUUUCAGAUUAUAUCAGAUGCCCCUCUCUAAGACACGCUCCCCUCUUCCUGUGAGGCAGGGUCUCUCAUUGAACCUGGAGCUAGGCUGGCAAAUGUCAAGCCCCGGACAAUUUUCUGUCUUUGCUGCCCAUGCCACUGGGGCUACAGGCACGUGUGUGGCCACUGUGUGUGUGUGGCUGUUGUCUAGCUAUUUUACAGAGAUGCUGGAGAGCCUAGCUCAAGUCUUUAUGCUUGAACUUAAAUGCUCUUCCUCAGAGCCAUCUUUCUCAGCCAUGGGCACUGCUCCUGGUUUUAUUUAGUUUUUAAUUUUCUAAGCACUGAGCUUGAGUUAUUUUUAUCAGAAGGGGAAAAAAAGCAGACUGUUAAAAGUCAGAGAAAAAUCUUUUUCCUCUGCCAAGCAUUGUAUUCAAGUCUAGUUAUUGUUCUACAUACAGUAACUGUCAAGCUGUCAGCUUUCCAGAUCUACAAAAUAAGGGGAUUAGAUCACACAGACACUAAGUCAUCUUCCUGUUCUAAAAACCUCGAGGUCAGUAGACGGCUCAGCUGAGGGCUGAUAAAUAUGGCCAUGUGUGGUUUAAUGAUGUUUCAAUGACAGAUGAUAUAAAUGAGGGUGUGAUGACUAUAAGACUAUAAUAGAACUGAAAAUUUCCUAUCACUCAGUGACAUUUGAGGCAUAACAUGUUUCCACAUGUCUGUGGUGCUACUCUGGACCAACAUCUCUUUGGUCACGAUAGAAAAUACUUGAUAACAGAUGACUAUCUUAGAGAAUCAUUCACUAGACUGUUUACUAUUCUUAGUGUAUACUGCUUCCAGACUAAAACAAGCAUUUCCUUGGUUAACAGGGAGACCACCCAGUGUCUAUUGCCUGUCUGAGUGACUGAUCUUUUCCCUCCAGGCCUGUGAGAAUCCUCCAUGACGUUCCUCCACAAAACUGCCUACAGAUGCAUUUCUUAGAGUAGAUCCUCAUCAUUAAGAGACGCAUGACUGUAAUUAUUCCAGACCACAUCUACUGGAAAUCUGCAAAGGCUCCAACCUCAAGGAGUCACGAUACAAUCACUAGAGCACUCUCGCAGUGAGGACCCUGGGCAGGGCUGCUGAGUGUAGAGGCUGGUGUGCCAGCAUACCUGGGGGCUUCCAAGUGUCUCAUCUAGGGAAGGUUUCUCCUUAGUAACCCAAGGUCUGAUUCUGUUGGCAGGCUGCACUGGAACAUCAUGGUAUAGUUCUUGAGUCCCCCUGUGAGCCCUUGAGUGGGAAUAGAGGAGGUAAGGAUGUUGAACUUCAGAGGGAGAGACAGUGGGUUAGGAGGCUUCUAUAUAGCUGGCUGGAGCCCAAAGGGAAAAGAACCCCAGUCCUGUCUCCUACAGUUCUUGUUUGACCGCCACCCUUCAAACUGCCUUACUUCCUUCAGAAUUUAUUAUGUCUUUGUUGCUUCUGGGGUUUUGCGACAGGGUCUCACCCUGUAGCCCAAAUGGCCUAGGACUCAUUAUAUAGCCUAGUCUGCCCUCCAACUCAUAGAUAAUAAGCCUCCUGCCUCAGCCUCUCUAGUGGUUGGAGUUUCGGAAGUGAGUCAUUAUACACUACUCCCUUCAAAAAGUAUUUAACACUGUCCAUCCCCAUGCUAAACUACUGGGCUUGAAAAUUAAUUGUACUGGCUCUGACUUCAGGGAGUUUAUAGACUAGCCGAGAGGGUGAGGUGCGAAGGAGGGAAAAAUCCAAAUCUGUUUGAGGUUAAGAGUUAUGGAACAUGGUAUGAGAUGACUUUCUAGCAGCAAAACCCUUCAGGCAAUCUGUCGUUCUGGCUGAAAAUAGGUUCUGCCCGGAGUCCAGACUUGUGGUGGGGAGAAUAGCCCAUCAGGGACUAUCCUGGGAGGUGUAAAUAAGACAUCAAUCCUCACUGCUCCAGAGAAGCAGGAGCCAGAAGAGGAGGAGAAUGGGGCUUAAGGGCCGAGCAUGGAAGGAGCAGAAACACAACUGUGAAUGAGUCUUUCAUGGAGGCUAUGGGGCAUUCCUCUGCAGAGGUUCCAGGGGCAUGCAUUCACUGGCACAUUAAAUGGCACCUCUACAGGAAGUGUUUCACAGGGCAGAAGGAGAGCAGCAGUCCAGCUUGAGGGCUGAGGGUGGGACAGGCUCAGAGAAAAGCAGGAUGGAGGUAUGGCAACCCUGAGGAAUGUGGGAGUGGCUAGGAACCACUAUCAUUACCUCAUGGUGUAUAAUCAUCAUAGACGUGCCUAGCUGGGGAGGUCUGGGCAUUGGCCAGCUCGCCUGUCACUGACCUUGCACUGGAGGCAAUUGGAAACAAAGGACUCGCUGUCAGAAUUCACAUGAACUGGCUUGUUUGCAUAACUCUGGGAAGGCUCCUCUGCCUUUCCUUGUCUCCUUUAUUUUCUUUCUUCUUCUUGUUUUAAGCAGUAGUGUUGAUUUCCUUGAAUACCAUCAUCUAUAUCCAAAACUGCAUUUUCCCUAAACUAAUCAGACUCUAAUGUUGAUUCUCAACUUCACUAAAGCUGUGACCCUUUGGUACAGUUCCUCAUGUUGUGGUGACCCCCAACCAUAAAAAUAUGCCCCUGCUAUUUCAUAACUGUAAUUUUGCUACUGUUAUGAACCGUAAUGUAAAUAUCUGAUAUACAGGAUAUCUGCUAUGUGACCCCUGUAGAAAGAUCGUUUGAUCCCCAGAGGGGUUGAGAACCACUGAGGGGUCCAUGAAUCCUCCAGAGAUUCGUGAACUUUGCCUUUAUCCUUUUCUAUCAUAGUUUACAAGGACAUUAUUAUUGCUCUGUAGAAGUGCGUUGUUGGCGAGAUGCUUUUAAACCUCCACAUUUAGAAACCUUACUGCCCGAUGGUAGCAAACGCUUUCCUUCAUACAACCGCAUUGACAUUUAACUUCUGGAAGAGGGUAAAAAGACUAAGAAGCUCAGGUGCUGGGAGGUGGCCAUAGUUUGCAUGCUCGUGUCUCCUCCCAGAUCCAUGAUUUGAAACAGCUACCUAAGUGAGAGCAUUCAGAGGUGGCGUCCUGAGGUAACUGCAUCACGAGAACAGAGCAGUGGCAGAGUCAGAUACCUUUAAUACAGCCUGGCAGAGUUCUUCCUUCCGCACUCCCUCUCUGCCACUGGACAGUGUUUGUCUUCUCCGGAGGAGGUGCCAUUCGCAACUCUACCCUGGAAACAGCAACUAGGCGCUCACCAGCCAUCCAAACUGUCCAUGUAUGGGUGUAUGGGUGUUUUCCCUACAUGUAUGUACGUGUACCACUUGAGUGCAGCACCUACUUAAGCCAGAAGCAGACAUGGGUUUCCCCGGAACUGUAUUUACACACAGUCGUUGUCUUGCGGGUGCUGGGAACCAAACCCUAGUCCUCGGGAGGAGCAGCCGGUGCUCUUAACUACUGAGUCAUUUCUCCAGCCCAGAGAAUAACAAUUUUAUUCCCCCUCAUGAAUUACUUAGUGUAAUAUUUUGUUCUAACAGCAUGAAAGACCUACAGUAGAGUCAGGAAAAAGAUCUCAGUGACAGACUGUCAGGCACACCCUUCUCUCGGCACACCACAAAUUUUGAUUCAAAAUCCUUCCGCUGGCUUAAAGGAUUAUUUAUGAAAGGUGGUCAUCAUUGAACAAAAAAACGCCAGGAAUUUUUUUUUCCAAACUAAUCAUGGAUGAUUUCUGGUGAAAUAAGGUUUCUUGGACAUUUAAUAUUACAAUUUAAAAAUGCCCAAAUCUCUGGAUUUUGUCCUUUGACAUUCGUUUAGUACUUCCAAAUAUAAACAUGUGACAAUCCCCCUGUAGAUUUGGUAAUUACUUCUUUCUGACACUUUGCCAGGAGUUAAUACUAUCUUAAGAGGACUUUUGGGGGGGGUGUAAUGUAAAUUAACUUGUUUUCAAUAUUGCUAAUAUUGAAAAAUAAAUUCAGAAUGGAUUUUAUUUCUCUACAAGGCAGAUAAUUUGCAUGUUUUGUAAAUUGUUUAGCAUGGCAGAAAUGUUUGGUAAUUUAAGCCAAAGAUAAAGAUUUUUUGUUUUUCCCUUACUGAAUCUCUCAGAAAAUGUCUGCAGUAUGGUAGUGACAUUUCUAAUUUCUGUUUUGAAGGUAUGCUUUGUAGGAGAGUCUGGGAAAACUAUCCUUCAUGAAACCGAUGAGUACUUCACCAGAAAGUAUGACCCACUUUUAAAAAAAUUAACUACAGAGCAUGUUUCAAGUGUCAAUGUGGGUUACCGGGGUACAAAUUAUAUUCUGUGGAAGUUCGAGAAAAGCCACGAAGUGCAUAAGAUGAAUACAUCACUGUGAUUAUUCUCUUCAGGAGUUAGAAAAUAACUACUUACAGGAGUGUGCCUGAGAGUAAUUGCUGUUUGAUGGAGAAAAACUGGGGGGAAAAAUUAUAAGAGUGAAGAAGAUAUUUCCUAACCAUCUGUCAUUUAAAAAUAAGAAACAAAAACGGGAAACAGUGUUUUCUCAGAAAGGCCUGGAAGCCUAUUCCAAAGGCAACAUUCUGAUGGUGUGCCCAGAAUAAGAGUAAUUCCGUGAUGCCCCUCACUGAGGUGUGCCACUGUGCACAGGGCAUCUGAGACUGUGACUGAAUGAUGGCCACCCAAGGAUACUUUACUACUCGGUCAGUUGCCUUUAUUUGACAUUUCUGCACAGCCAAAGAGAAAGAGCGCAUCCAAAUGAAAUGUCAGUGAUUGAAGCAGGAGACACCGACAGGAAGGUAUUUCCUCCUACUGGGGUAAAAAGGUAAAGAUGUAGUAGGGAACUCUAGCGUCUUUAAUUCCUACGUCUAAUGCAUGGGAUCUUAGUGAGGCAGUGAAGGACUACAUUGUUGCAGGGUUUAUUCAGAUAAUAUUUCACUGGCGUCCUCUUCUUUGUGGGCAGACCUGUGUAAGUCCGUGGGUAAUGGCUUCUGUAGUUUGCCUCCUGAACCGUCCUGCCUUGGAGGAGACCUCACGUGGAGGGAAGGGGCCCAGAACUGUCCAGACGGCUUUGAUGUUCUUCCACCACACAGAGUAAGUAGCAGACACGCAAGAGUCUGUGAGGAGCUGGAAACAAUGCUGCCUCUGAAGAACUCUCCGUUUCCUUUCUCCUGUCAUGAACACGGGGUGGGGACAGCUCUGGGCGGGACUCUUCUUUAUCUGGCUGCUGACCCUAGCCUAGGCCUGCCAAGCACUGCCACAGGAAAUACCUGUUAUGGGGGGGGGGGGGGACUGGAGAAUGCAUGUUCCGUGUGAAGAAAAUGAGGGAGGGGUGUGCAUGCUUGUGAGGAUUCUACUCUCCUUAUGAAUUGACACUGAGUAUCUGAGGUAGGGUAUAUCGGUUUUGUUUCCCUUUGUGGUUUUUUUGUUUGUGUGUUUUGUUUUCUGGUUUUGUUUUUUCCUCCCUGGCAUCCAUUCACUCCUUGCCUUCCUGUUGUAAGUGGGACUGUCACCAGCACACCUUCCUUCUCUGACAUAAACAAUUAUCCAGCCUUGGAGAUGGGACUGGGGUACAUGCAGAUGAAUUCUUCCGGUAGCAGCCUGUCCACUGGGGUUGCAUAGACUACUCCAUUUGGUCUUCUGUCCUUUGGCAGAUGAAAACUGACUGUGUCUUGACACUGUACCUAGUGAGGGGCUGAACCUGUCCUUCUUUCACUCUGUGCAGGCCGCUCAACAGAAUACACCGGAAGUGACGGCUUCGGGGCCAUUUCUUCCUCCUAUCUCCCCCUGAAGCCCCGGGUCACGGUUACAUCCAGCUUCCCUGAAACCACCAUGUUAUGCAUGUUCUCAAGCUGCUUGGGAGAGGUGCCUGGAGAAACAGUGGCCCCUUCCCAUGCCAGCUUGUCUAGACACCUUUCAUGACAGAGUCUUCACGGGACCGUUCUUCCGCUGUCAUCUGACUCAGCGUGGUAUGUCUGUGCACCACCUGGUGCCCACAGAGGCAGAAAAGGGCACCAGACCAUUGGAAGUGGAGUUACAGAUGAAUGUUGGCCACCAUUUGAGUUCUGGGAAUAUAACCCUGGACCCCUGGAAGAGUAACAAGUAUUCUUUUCACUGAGCCAUCUAUCCACUCCUGUUUUCAAUUAUAUACUAACAGUUCUACAAAACUGAUUUUUAUCUUCGGUGAAACAUGUUCCAAAUGGGAGUAGGGUUCAUAAUUCGCCUCAUUUUAGGGCUCUUGGUACAGUGUGGGGACACAAUUUUGCAGAAGGCUGAUAUGGAGUGGGAAGAGCUUCAGUCUUUUCCUUUUUCCACUCUCAUUUCUUACAUCCUCACUACCUCAUACCUGCUAAUAUGACUUUCACUUCUACAUGGCAACCUGGAACCCUAUGUGAGGAGGAAGACAGUAGUAUUUUGGUAUUCUUACCUUACCCUGAUAUUAUAGACACCACAGAACCUCCCACUACAUCAGGAUAUGCCUCUAACUCUACUCCCAACUAUAUGCACCUUCUGACAAACCCAUGGCUGAAGUAAUGGGUUAGUUAGCCAGCUCUCUCAGUCUCCUACCAACAGGAGUCUCAACUCUCACCCUGACCCUCAAGGCACUCCAUAAUAUGGAAAACACUGUCAGUAUUGGAUAACCCGAGGGAGGAAAGCUAUGGACCCAGAAAUGAGAGGCCAGCAUGUACACCCGUGCAGCCCCGUGUCAGUUUUGUUUGUUUACAUGACACUGCAGUCUUUACACUUAUGCUUUUUGAAUCCAAUUACAUCAGUCUGACUUCUUUUUAUAUGCUAUUAUUAUGAUAUGUAAUAAUAAUUAUAUAAUAUAUUAUCAUUUUAUUAUACCUUGAAUAUAUAUGGAGUCUGAGGAUGAGGAUUAUGCUGCCUGGUCUUAUGUCAAUUUGACAUACAAUCCAGAGUUAUUUGAGAAGAGGGACUCUUAACUGACAUGAUGCAGCCAUAAGAUCCAGCUGUAAGACUUUUCUUAAGAGAUGAUUGAUGAGGGGAGGGCCUCGCCCAUUGUGAGUGGUACCAUCCCUGGGGUGGUGGUAGUCCUGGAUUCAUUCUCUCUCUCUCUCUCUCUCUCUCUCUCUCUCUCUCUCUCUCUCUCUCUCUCUCUCUCUCUCCAUAUAUAUAUAUAUAUCUCCCUCUUCCCUAACCAGGAAGAUCUACUCAAUGAAUGCUAUAGUGUGUGUGUGUGUGUGUGUGUGUGUGUGUGUGUGUGUGUGUGUGUGUGUGUGAGAGUGUAUGUGAGUGUGUGUGUGUGAGUGUAUGUGAGUGUGUGUGUAUGUGUUUGUGUGUGUGUGUGUAUGUGUAUACAGUAAA